UGAAUGUGUAAUGCACCUGGGGCUGAAUUCGGCAGGUAUAGUGUGCCUCAAGGCUGGCAGAGGAGAUAGACAUCAGUCUGGCUGGUAUCCUGUGCUACAGAGAGGUGUGCUUUACUGGAAAUCUGGAAACACAACAACAAAUCAAACACUGCGAUUCAUCUAAAGCGCCACAGCAAAACCAAGAACACAUCAGCAAAAGUAAUAACAGAAAAUCAAAAGCCAGCAAAUCAGAUAACACAGCAGCAAGUAAGACAAAACAACAGCAAAUCAAAAUCGCAGAAAAACAAAGAAACAGGAGAGGCUGCUACCACAUCUGGCAGCUCUGCCAGGUGCUCGUGCCCACACGACGCUCUGGAAUGGAGGAAACCUUGCCCAGCCUGCCAGCUCCACCUGAAGCUUUGGACCUUGUUCAGCACAGAGCCCCAGCCAUAAACAAACUCUCAUUUACCACUUUAAUCGCCAGACCUGGUGUUUUGAGUUUUACAUAAUGGGUUUAAGUAAUGCUUCUUGUUUUCUGCACCAUUUAAGUGAAAGCCAAGCAGCGCUCCCAGAGAAUGGCAGCAGGCUUAGGCAUGAAUGGAUGUUCUCCACAUUCCUGCCAUUAUGACGAUGCUGCAUUUUGGAUGGUGACGAGCGUGAAUCUUAAAGGCUGUGGUAGACCAGAAGGAAGGAGGAGGGAACGGGAAAGAUGAAUGGCCAGUGCAGCUAAAAGGCAUUUGCUUUUUCUCUGGCCUUCUUUCUCCCAGCUGUUUUUCAUUGCUCCUGUCAGAGAUGUCGUUUGUGUUUGAGGUUGAAGGCUGUGGGG
ensembl:lncRNA